CUCUACAUAAGCUAUAAGUAUGCGAAAUUUCAAACUCCUCCGUCAGCGCAAGUUUCGUAAAAAGAGGUACAAACCUAUGAAAAAAAAU